GUCGAACGAACCUUCGGGUUAGUGGCGGACGGGUGAGUAACGCGUGGGAAUCUGCCCUCAGGAGGGGGAUAACGGUUGGAAACGACCGCUAAUACCCCAUAUGCCGAGAGGUGAAAUGAACUUCGCCUGAGGAUGAGCCCGCGUCUGAUUAGCUAGUUGGUGUGGUAAUGGCUCACCAAGGCUUCGAUCAGUAGCUGGUCUGAGAGGAUGAUCAGCCACACUGGGACUGAGACACGGCCCAGACUCCUACGGGAGGCAGCAGUGGGGAAUUUUCCGCAAUGGGCGCAAGCCUGACGGAGCAACGCCGCGUGAGGGAUGAAGGCCUCUGGGCUGUAAACCUCUUUUCUCAAGGAAGAAGAUAUGACGGUACUUGAGGAAUAAGCCACGGCUAAUUCCGUGCCAGCAGCCGCGGUAAUACGGGAGUGGCAAGCGUUAUCCGGAAUUAUUGGGCGUAAAGCGUCCGCAGGCGGCCUUUCAAGUCUGCUGUUAAAACGUGGAGCUUAACUCCAUCAUGGCAGUGGAAACUGAUUGGCUUGAGUGUGGUAGGGGCAGAGGGAAUUCCCGGUGUAGCGGUGAAAUGCGUAGAUAUCGGGAAGAACACCAGUGGCGAAGGCGCUCUGCUGGGCCAUAACUGACGCUCAUGGACGAAAGCCAGGGGAGCGAAAGGGAUUAGAUACCCCUGUAGUCCUGGCCGUAAACGAUGAACA
rnacentral:rRNA from 1 species